AAGAGACAGCAGUAGCCACGGGAAUACAGAGGGUGCGAGCGUUAAUCGGAUUUACUGGGCGUAAAGCGUGCGUAGGCGGCUUUUUAAGUCGGAUGUGAAAUCCCUGAGCUUAACUUAGGAAUUGCAUUCGAUACUGGGAAGCUAGAGUAUGGGAGAGGAUGGUAGAAUUCCAGGUGUAGCGGUGAAAUGCGUAGAGAUCUGGAGGAAUACCGAUGGCGAAGGCAGCCAUCUGGCCUAAUACUGACGCUGAGGUACGAAAGCAUGGGGAGCAAACAGGAUUAGAUACCCCUGUAGUCCCUGUCUCUUAUAC
rnacentral:rRNA from 1 species